rnacentral:lncRNA from 1 species
UAAAAUAUUGAUCUCUUCUUUGCAAACUUGUGAACAUGAGUUUUCCCUGUUUUCCAAAUGACCAGGUUUUUUUUCUAUCAAAUUCCUCCAUUUUUCCACGUUUUUGUAAUUUUUUUCUUUUUAUCCAAAUGCUGUUUAAGAAUAUCUCGAUUUUUCUCAGAAAAUGAUUCUCUCCAUUUUCUCUAUUAGAAAAAAUAUGUUUUCUUUGUUUUCCUUUCUAACUGAAGGUUUUUCCAUCGAAUUCUUCCAUUAUAAAACAUUUUUCUAUAAAUUUUGUCAAUUUUCUCAAAAAUACAUUUGAAUAACAUCUUGUAAUUUUUUAAAAUUGGUU